rnacentral:rRNA from 1 species
CCUACGGGAGGCAGCAGUAGGGAAUCUUCCGCAAUGGACGAAAGUCUGACGGAGCAACGCCGCGUGAACGAUGAAGGCCUUCGGGUCGUAAAGUUCUGUUGUUAGGGAAGAACAAGUGCUAGUUGAAUAAGCUGGCACCUUGACGGUACCUAACCAGAAAGCCACGGCUAACUACGUGCCAGCAGCCGCGGUAAUACGUAGGUGGCAAGCGUUGUCCGGAAUUAUUGGGCGUAAAGCGCGCGCAGGCGGUUUCUUAAGUCUGAUGUGAAAGCCCCCGGCUCAACCGGGGAGGGUCAUUGGAAACUGGGAAACUUGAGUGCAGAAGAGGAAAGUGGAAUUCCAAGUGUAGCGGUGAAAUGCGUAGAGAUUUGGAGGAACACCAGUGGCGAAGGCGACUUUCUGGUCUGUAACUGACGCUGAGGCGCGAAAGCGUGGGGAGCAAACAGGAUUAGAUACCCUGGCAGUCCACGCUGUAAACGAUGAGUGCUAAGUGUUAGAGGGUUUCCNCCCUUUAGUGCUGAAGUUAACGCAUUAAGCACUCCGCCUGGGGAUACGGUCGCAAGACUGAAACCUCAAAGAGUAGUAGGACGUGAGAGAGCGACGACGACGACGACGGAGGAGGAG